CUCGGGGAGGUAGUGACAAGAAAUAGCAACACUGGAAAUUUUAUUUCUAGUGAUUGGAAUGAUGGGAAUUUAAACCCCUCUCAGAGUAACAAUUGGAGGGCAAGUCUGGUGCCAGCAGCCGCGGUAAUUCCAGCUCCAAUAGCGUAUAUUAAAGUUGUUGCAGUUAAAAAGCUCGUAGUUGGAUGUCUGCUGGAAGCAAUCAGUCCGCCCUAUUUGUAGGGUGUGCACUUGAUGAAUUCUGGCAUUUUUGUCCCAAUGAUGUAACGGAGCGGUGGUAUUCGGUGAAAGCCGAGUAUCCUGUUUUCCGAUUAUUGGGAUACUGUUACUUUGAGAAAAUUAGAGUGUUUGAAGUAGGCUAAUUGCCUUGAAUACUGCAGCAUGGAAUAACAAUAUAGGAUUUCGGUUCUAUUUUGUUGGUUUCUAGGGCUGAAAUAAUGAUUAAUAGGGACAGUUGGGGGCAUUCGUAUUUAACUGUCAGAGGUGAAAUUCUUAGAUUUGUUAAAGACGAACUACUGCGAAAGCAUUUGCCAAAGAUGUUUUCAUUAAUCAAGAACGAAAGUUAGGGGCUCGAAGACGAUCAGAUACCGUCGUAGUCUUAACCAUAAACUAUGCCGACUAGAGAUAGGAAAAUGUCAUUUUGCUGACUU
rnacentral:rRNA from 1 species